rnacentral:rRNA from 1 species
GACGAACGCUGGCGGCGUGCCUAAUACAUGCAAGUCGAGCGAAGUUUUUCUGGUGCUUGCACUAGAAAAACUUAGCGGCGAACGGGUGAGUAACACGUAAAGAACCUGCCUCAUAGACUGGGACAACUAUUGGAAACGAUAGCUAAUACCGGAUAACAGUAUUUCUCGCAUGAGAGAUAUUUAAAAGUUGGUUAUGCUAACACUAUGAGAUGGCUUUGCGGUGCAUUAGCUAGUUGGUGGGGUAAAGGCCCACCAAGGCGACGAUGCAUAGCCGACCUGAGAGGGUGAUCGGCCACACGGGGACUGAGACACGGCCCAGACUCCUACGGGAGGCAGCAGUAGGGAAUCUUCCGCAAUGGGCGAAAGCCUGACGGAGCAACGCCGCGUGAGUGAAGAAGGAUUUCGGUUCGUAAAGCUCUGUUGUUAGGGAAGAAUGGAUAUGUAGUAACUAUACAUGUAAGAGACGGUACCUAACCAGAAAGCCACGGCUAACUACGUG